UACGAAGGGGGCUAGCGUUGUUCGGAAUUACUGGGCGUAAAGGGCGCGUAGGCGGCGUGUCAAGUCAGGCGUGAAAGCCCCGGGCUCAACCUGGGAACCGCGCUUGAGACUGGCAUGCUCGAGUUCGGGAGAGGAUGGUGGAAUUCCCAGUGUAGAGGUGAAAUUCGUAGAUAUUGGGAAGAACACCGAUGGCGAAGGCAGCCAUCUGGACCGAUACUGACGCUGAGGCGCGAAAGCGUGGGGAGCAAACAGG
rnacentral:rRNA from 1 species